GUUUCACAAAGGCAAACUACCAUCGAAAGAGUAGGGCGCAAAGCCAUGGGUCUAAAACGGUAAAGCAUUACAAUCUGCUACAUUACCGUUACGAUUGCCAGGCUGCGGUA
rnacentral:ncRNA from 1 species